rnacentral:rRNA from 1 species
UACAGAGGUCCCGAGCGUUGUUCGGAUUCACUGGGCGUAAAGGGUGUGUAGGUGGCGCGCUAAGUCGGGUGUGAAAUUUCGGAGCUUAACUCCGAAACUGCAUUCGAUACUGGCGUGCUUGAGGACUGGAGAGGAGACUGGAAUUCAUGGUGUAGCAGUGAAAUGCGUAGAGAUCAUGAGGAAGACCAGUGGCGAAGGCGGGUCUCUGGACAGUUCCUGACACUGAGACACGAAGGCCAGGGGAGCAAACGGG